UACGGGGGGGGCUAGCGUUGUUCGGAAUUACUGGGCGUAAAGGGCGCGUAGGCGGUCUGCUAAGUUGGAUGUGAAAACUCUGGGCUUAACCCAGAGCCUGCAUUCAAUACUGACAGGCUAGAGUUCUGGAGGGGAUAGCGGAAUUCCUGGUGUAGCGGUGAAAUGCGUAGAGAUCGGGAGGAACACCAGAGGCGAAGGCGGCAACCUGGACAAGCACUGACACUCAACUGCGAAAGCGUGGGGAGCAAACAGG
rnacentral:rRNA from 1 species